rnacentral:rRNA from 1 species
CCUACGGGAGGCAGCAGUGGGGAAUAUUGGACAAUGGGGGGAACCCUGAUCCAGCGACGCCGCGUGAGUGAAGAAGUAUUUCGGUAUGUAAAGCUCUAUCAGCAGGGAAGAAAGAAAUGACGGUACCUGACUAAGAAGCCCCGGCUAACUACGUGCCAGCAGCCGCGGUAAUACGUAGGGGGCAAGCGUUAUCCGGAUUUACUGGGUGUAAAGGGAGCGUAGACGGCGAUGCAAGUCUGAAGUGAAAGGCGGGGGGCCAAACCCUGGACUGCUUUGGAAACUGUAUGGCUGGAGUGCAGGAGAGGUAAGUGGAAUUCCUAGUGUAGCGGUGAAAUGCGUAGAUAUUAGGAGGAACACCAGUGGCGAAGGCGGCUUACUGGACUGUAACUGACGUUGAGGCUCGAAAGCGUGGGGAGCAAACAGGAUUAGAUACCCUUGUAGUC